rnacentral:rRNA from 1 species
AUGAACGCUGGCGGCGUGCCUAAUACAUGCAAGUCGAGCGAACAGAUAAGGAGCUUGCUCCUUUGACGUUAGCGGUGGACGGGUGAGUAACACGUGGAUAACCUACCUAUAAGACUGGGAUAACUUCGGGAAACCGGAGCUAAUACCGGAUAACAUAUUGAACCGCAUGGUUCAAUAGUGAAAGGCGGCUUUGCUGUCACUUAUAGAUGGAUCCGCGCCGUAUUAGCUAGUUGGUAAGGUAACGGCUUACCAAGGCAACGAUACGUAGCCGACCUGAGAGGGUGAUCGGCCACACUGGAACUGAGACACGGUCCAGACUCCUACGGGAGGCAGCAGUAGGGAAUCUUCCGCAAUGGUCGAAAGCCUGACGGAGCAACGCCGCGUGAGUGAUGAAGGUCUUCGGAUCGUAAAACUCUGUUAUCAGGGAAGAACAAAUGUGUAAGUAACUGUGCACAGCUUGACGGUACCUGAUCAGAAAGCCACGGCUAACUACGUG